UCCGGUUGAUCCUGCCGGAGGCCACUGCUAUGGGGGUCCGACUAAGCCAUGCGAGUCAUGGGGCGCCUUGCGCGCACCGGCGGACGGCUCAGUAACACGUCGGUAACCUACCCUCGGGAGGGGGAUAACCCCGGGAAACUGGGGCUAAUCCCCCGUAGGCCUGAGGUACUGGAAGGUCCUCAGGCCGAAAGGGUCUUUGACCGCCCGAGGAUGGGCCGGCGGCCGAUUAGGUAGUUGGUGGGGUAACGGCCCACCAAGCCGAAGAUCGGUACGGGCCAUGAGAGUGGGAGCCCGGAGAUGGACACUGAGACACGGGUCCAGGCCCUACGGGGCGCAGCAGGCGCGAAACCUCCGCAAUGCUCGAAAGAGCGACGGGGGGACCCCCAGUGCCGUGGCAUCGCCACGGCUUUUCCGGAGUGUAAAGAGCUCCGGGAAUAAGGGCUGGGCAAGGCCGGUGGCAGCCGCCGCGGUAAUACCGGCGGCCCGAGUGGUGGCCGCUAUUAUUGGGCCUAAAGCGUCCGUAGCCGGGCCAGUAAGUCCCUGGCGAAAUCCCACGGCUCAACCGUGGGGCUUGCUGGGGAUACUGCUGGCCUUGGGACCGGGAGAGGCGGAGGGUACUCCUGGGGUAGGGGUGAAAUCCUAUAAUCCCAGGAGGACCGCCAGUGG
rnacentral:rRNA from 1 species